rnacentral:rRNA from 1 species
UACGGGGGGGGCAAGCGUUGUUCGGAAUUACUGGGCGUAAAGGGCUCGUAGGCGGCCAACUAAGUCAGACGUGAAAUCCCCAGGCUCAACCUGGGAACUGCGUCUGAUACUGGAUGGCUUGAAUCCGGGAGAGGGAUGCAGAAUUCCAGGUGUAGCGGUGAAAUGCGUAGAUAUCUGGAGGAAUACCGGUGGCGAAGGCGGCAUCCUGGACCGGCAUUGACGCUGAGGAGCGGAAGCCAGGGGAGCAAACGGG